CUAACAAAGUAUUUUCCUUCCAGUUUCACACAAAUGACUACUGAUGGUAUUUUAGAAUAAUGUCAUACUACAACUAAAUGGCACAAUUAAGAAUACUUAAAGCAUGUUCAUCUGUUGAUCUCAAUCAAAAGCGAACACGUACGAAGAAAACAGUAAUUGAUAAGUUGAGAAGCCAAAAGUGCUUAUUUUAGCUAGUUGAGGUGUUUAGCCAAGAUUUUAGAAAAAAGGUAUUAGUGCAUGACAAAAAUAUAUAUCGUAAUUAGUUAUACAGCUAGAGGCACAAGACAAACCUUAAAAUUGAACAUCACUUUAUUGAGAUCAACUA
rnacentral:misc_RNA from 1 species